AAUAUUAAUAAAAAUCCCAUGACAACCAUGUGACAACAGAUUCUGAGUCGCAGAAAUGAUCGAUAUACCAUCAUCCCUGAUGCUAGUGAAAUCCCAUGAGGGUUGGUUCAGAGAUUAGAAGGCGAACACCCUCAUCUGACAAUCAACCGUAGCAUGAUAUGUUGAUAGUCAAUCCAUGCAAAAGAUAAUGUCAAACUCGACCAUUUUUAGUACUAAUAAAUCUAUUGUGAGUAUAAUGUUGCCAAAGUCUAACCGGCAGCCUCUAACCUCCUGGAUGACAUCCGAUGCAGUAAGUGUCACCGGUGGACUGUUUCCAGAUUUGCUGUCACACUGGAUGUCACCCAUGAGGUUAGAGGCUGAUCGUUAGACUUUGGUAACAUUAUACUCACAAUAAAUUUAUUAGUACUGGAAAUGGUCGAGUUUGAAACUUGGCAUGGAUUGACUAUCAACAUAUCAUGCUACGGUUGAUUGCCAGAUGAGGGUGUUCACCUUCUGACCUCCGAACUAACCCUCAUGGAAUUUCAAUAGCAUCAGGGAUGAUGGUAUAUCGAUCAUUUCUGCGAUUCAGACUCAGAAUCUGUUGUCACAUGGUUGUCAUGGGAUUUUUAUUAUCAUUGGAGCCCCCACGGGUUGGCGUAGUUAUUCCAAUAGGUCUUGGUGUCAAUUCUCAACGGGUGCAAAAUGCCUCGCAGCGUGCUUGACCUCCUCCAUGCAAAGGGGUCGCUGUGCUAGGGCAAAUGUCCCCUGUGAUUUACCCUUUCCAGAAAGUGUGGGUGCGCCUUGUAGGGGCCCCUAAGGACUCUGAUAAGAUAAUAUUUGAGUGUUUGCAAAAGGAAUUUGAUGCUGCAUGCUUCUCAAACUGGAGGUAUUCUUCUGAUGACUUUGCACAAUGGUUCAGUGUUUGGUUUCUUACAUGUCUGCUUGUUUCAAGUCUUUACAGGUAUAUGUGAUUCUAAUAUUUGAUAAAAAAGAUUCAUAUUUUUGUUUUGAUAACUGUACUGUGUAAGUUAUGGAGCCUUUGCACUUGCAUUCGCCUAUUUGAAGCAACUACAAAUGUGGUAACGAUUGCAAUAAUAUGCAAAUAUUCUUGCAGUUGCAUUAAUAACCAUUUUCUUGGCAUUUACACAUAGGAUAGCUAAAUUUCACAUAGGAUAGCUAAAUUUCAGUAAAAAGUGUCAAUGGUGUUUGCUUUAUCUCGGUGUUCAAAUAUUGAAUCUUUUCUAUGUGCAUCCGUAUACUCAGAAUCCUUGAUUUCCUUCUUGUUCUUCCAUGUUAAUACACGUGUUGGAUACUUGUACAUUAAAAAAGAAUCACAAAUGCUUUGAGAUUCCAUGGAUAGACUCUAAUGAUCUAGAGAAUCAAUUACAGCUGACAUCAUCUUCUUACUGAUAUAUAUGUUAUCUUUGUUUUUGUUCAGAAAUUUGUACAUAAUAACUUCCUAAACAGAAAAUUUAUUUUAUUUUAUUUUUCAUCACACUAAAGCAUCUUCGGUGGCCGGCGCAGUGGUAGCUUCGCUUUCACCAGUCGGGAUAGUAGUCUCCGUGCCGAUCGACUCUAGUCCGCGUGACUCCAGCUCGGCCACUCCUGCAACAUUGAUUUUCACAUCUCGCAAUUUCGUUCGAUCGGCUACCCUGGCGCGCAUCAUGACUUCGGCUGCAGAAGAAAAAACAAUCAGUUAGCGUAAAAAAAAAAGAUGUAGUGGCGACAUACCUAAGCUGCAUUGGAGUCGAGUGUGGAGCGGACUCAAAUCGAAGAUGUACAUGAUACCCUCUAGCAGUAGCUUAUGGAUGUUGUAUUUCUGGCCUAUCAGGCUGUCCGCUGCUCGAAGAUAGUCCGAGUGGCUCUUAUAAUUACGGAGCUUUGGCUGGGUCGGCACCUCGAGCUGCCAUCAGGUCGGGAAUUCGAGCCGCUCGGGAAGUCUCAUAAAGAAAAAAUAAUCCUUCCAAUAUUUAUUGAAAGUUGACAUUUUAUCGAAGAAAACAAGGUCCACUCGGGCUUGAAAGAGAAAGUUCAUCGGCUCGGAGAGCUUUGGGUAGUAGAAGUAAUGGAAGAGCCGGGGUGUAAGGGGAAUGCCGUGCAACUUAAAGAAGAUAACUACGUCGCACAGUAGCCUAAAGAAAUUGUGUACGAGUUGGUGGAGGGAAAUGCGAAAGUAUUUACAGACAGCUAUGAUGAAAGGGUGGAUCGGGAAUUUGAGACCGCCGGUAAACUGGUCUUGAAAGCAGAUACAGUCGUUCGGCGGAUUGUGCGGCUGAUCGGACGAGGAGGCGAGAAUUAUUCGGUGGUCGGGAGUGAAAUCGUAGGCGCCCGCCAAACUCUCGGCGUCGCCUUGGUCGAACUUGGACUCGGUAGAUGUGUACUAGAGCCCAGGGAUGGCGACAAGAGCUUGGGAGGAGCUCGCCAUCGCAAAAAUAGAGAACAAAAACGAAGAACAGAAAGGAAAAAAUGAAGAAGAUCAAGGAAGGGCAAAGAAAGAACCUUGCAAAGAAGAUCGGCGAAGGGACAGAGAAUGAAAGAAAUUGUCGGAAAGCAAGGUUGUCGGAGAGUGUCGGAGCGUCUUCGAUGGUGCUCGAGGAGAAAGAAAGCGCAAGAGGAAUAUCGUGCUGCGAGGGGGGGGGUUUUAAACCCCAGGAAGGAUGAACGAGAUCAUCCGAUCGGCGGACGCGAAACCCUAGGCCAAUAUCUGGUCGUUGAAUUCAAAACGCCAUGUGUCGCAUCAGCGGAGGAUAUCCGCUUGUCACGUCAAGCGUGCGACGGUAGUAAGUGGGACACGUGGUGUUUACUCACAAGACAACAUUUAAUGAAGAGCAAUUAAUGAGCAUGAGGGAGCGCUUGGCCAUGAUGAGCUAGGGUUUGCACAGAAUCCAAGAGAUACGGAUGAUGCAAGCCUGGAUUAUGCUCGGCUAAAACCACACAUAGAAAAAACUCCCAAGUGAAGGCAAAAGCCCUUCCAAUCGGGCGCGAUUGAGUAGAUAUGUCGAGCGGCACGCUGGGCCAUUUUCACCAUCGACCUAGGUUGAGCGGCCUGUCGAUACUCUUUGUCCAGUCAAUCGGACUUGUAACCUCCUUCGAUUAGAUUUGAAUGGGAGACUUGUGAUACGACGAUAAGAACGAGCCCACCUGUCAGAAGUCAACAUUCACGGUGGAGGUCAAAGUCAAGAGUCAAGGACCAACACCAUGAUAGGCCGAUCGAAGCUAGCCCGUCAGAGCUGAGCGGACGUGCAUAAGUCCGAUCGACGAUAUCGGAGGUGGCUUGGUCAGCAGACAUGUAGAGUCUGAUUGGCCAUACCCAAGGCGGCUCGGCCAAAGUGUUGUCUACCCCACUUCCAGUGCACCAGGUGUCGAGCGGGCAGAAUAUGUCAAUCAGCGGGCCGACCUCUAUAGACAGAGGUCCUAUUGUCGAAUGAGAUGUGCCCCCCAAGGAAGAUCGGACCGAGCGGAUUGUCACUCAAUCGAGUACAGACAGACCGGGACCUCCAUAUCCUUAUGGGAGGGCGUGUCGCCGAUGCCAAGGAUAAUCUGCAGGAAGAUCGUACGGUCGAAGCUUCCAUUGUCAUGUUAGAGAUAAGCUCGGCCUGUUAAGAUAUUAUGUCAGGGACACUUUAUUGACAUAUAUUUUCAGCGAUAGCUUUGAGAAGCGUGUACGUCUCAAGGAGUGUGCACGCUCGCCACAGACAUUUUAUAUAAAGGGGGUGUAAGCACUGACGAAGGUACGUGCACAUACGCAUCUACUAUUCACUUGCUGCUUCACUGUUACUCCACUUUCCAUUUUCGCUGCCGGUUACUAACUUGAGUGUUGGAGGGCCAUCGUCGGUGUUGGGGUUGUAAGGUUGCAAACAUAGUCCCAUAUUGGAAACACAUGGGAAAGAUCAUGGGUUUAUAAGAGAAAAA